UUGACACAAAGGUCCCGUAAGAGAUCAUGAAUUCUACAUGUUUUAAUUUUGCCAUUAGACCCUUUCCUUUGAACCAAAAUAAGACUUCUAUGACGUAUGCCACUGUCAUCCACAAUCUUCUCUGGCGGUGUCUUUGUGGUAUCAACUUCGAGAAUUAGUUUGGCUAUUUCAUGGAAUGAAAUUGUAAAGAUGCCACCACUUUGAGUUGCAGAUUCUUCAAAAACUCUUUCUGCAAUGCAGGAUUCAAUUAUAUCUUCAGUGUGACAUGUUGCAUCACUGAUCUUUCUCUCCAAACCUUCUAUUGAUUCGAUGUUUUCUCGUGGAAAAUUGUCGAGAAAAUCUUGCAAGUAACCCACUUUUCCCAGGAGAGAUUCUAUUUGUUGUUUCUCACCCGGAAGAAGAUAUGAACAAUCAUACUUCAAGGUGCGCUGAAGAACGUGAGUAAGAGAGAGAAGAGCAGCAUACGCCAUUUCUGUUUUCUUCAGGUGGAAAGUGAGACCGCACCACUAAAGAAGAUAGCGUCUUGUCAUCACCCUGGAGCGUCCCUUUAGUUGCAUGGUAAAAUUGCGCUUCCUCUAAAGACGAUAGAGAAUUCUUCUCAACAUGAAUACUUACACGGCGCUUAUCAGUGCUUCCUUGAAUACCAUAAGGACCCCCUUUAAUGACGUGGAAAAACUUCUCUUUUUGAGCUUCUUUGACACAAAGGUCCCGUAAGAGAUCAUGAAUUCUACAUGUUUUAAUUUUGCCAUUAGACCCUUUCCUUUGAACCAAAAUAAGACUUCUAUGAACAAGAUCCAAAAAGUACUCCUCUCCUACAUCUUCCAACGUUUUAGAGCAUGCUGGUUUGAGGAUUCCCUCUGCAACCCACAACUUGGUAAGUACGUUGACUUUGAUGUCAAAAUCUUCUGGAAAAAUUCCCAUAUAGAGGAAGCACCCUUUCAAAUGAUGAGGCAAA
rnacentral:lncRNA from 1 species